AUGAAGACGUAGCGAAAUGCGAUACGUAAUGUGAAUUGCAGAUUUCAGUGAAUCAUCGAAUCUUUGAACGCACAUUGCGCCCGCUAGUAUUCUGGCGGGCAUGCCUGUUCGAGCGUCAUUUCAACCAUCAAGCCCUAGGCUUGCGUUGGAGCCCUGCGGCUGCCGCAGGCUCCCAAAUCCAGUGGCGGGCUCGUCGUCGUACCGAGUGCAGUAAACAUCCUCGCUCAGGGAACGUGACGGGUUCUUGCCGUGAAACCCCCCACAUAUCAAGGUUGACCUCGGAUCAGGUAGGAAUACCCGCUGAACUUAAGCAUAUCAAUAAGCGGAGGA
rnacentral:misc_RNA from 1 species